rnacentral:rRNA from 1 species
UCUAGAGGCUUCGUCAAUGCCCGAAAGGGUGAACGAGCGACGCCGCGUGCGGGAUGAAGGGCUUCGGCUUGUAAACCGCUUUUGUUUGGGAAGAAUGCCCGGAUCGUGAAUCCGGGAGGGACGGUACCAGACGAAUAAGCCCCGGCUAACUCCGUGCCAGCAGCCGCGGUAAGACGGAGGGGGCAAGCGUUGUUCGGAAUUAUUGGGCGUAAAGGGCGCGUAGGCGGAUUGGUAAGUCUGGCGUGAAAUCGCCACCACUUAACGGGGAGAGGUCGGUGGAAACUGGC